rnacentral:ncRNA from 1 species
UUAGCUAUUUUAUUUAAUAUUUAAUUUUAAUUCAUAUAAAUUUUUAAAUAAUAAUUAAUAAUAAUUAUUAAAUUAUUAUUAUCUUUAAUUAAUUAGAGUUUAAAAUUUUUAAUUUUAUUCAAAAAUUAAGAAAUUAAUGUUAUUAAUGUUAAAUUUUGUGCCAGCAAUCGCGGUUAAACAAUUAUUAUAUAAAUAUAUUUAAGUAUAUACAUAAUUUAAUAUCAUUUAGUUUAAAUGUAAAUUGAUGUUUUAUUUGGUGAAAUUUUCAAUAUUAUUAUAUUUUAAUUAACUUUUUUUAGUUUAAAUUAGUGUUAAAACUAGAAUUAGAUACUCUAUUAUUAUUAAUUAUUUUUAUUAAAAUACUUAAAUUAAUAAAAAUUUCAUAUUUUAAAUUUAAAAUAUAUGGCAGUAAUAGAAUCAAUUUAGAGGAACUUGUUUAUUAAUAGAUAAAACACUAUAAAUUUUACUUAUAUUGUCUUAAUUUAUGUAUUGUUAUAUUAAAAAUUUAAUUUUAGUUAAUAUAAAAAAUUUUAAUUUUUGGAUAUUUAAAUUUAUUUUAAAUCAAAAUGUAAUAUGUAAUUAAGGUUAUUAUGAGUUACAAAAAAUUUCAAUUUUUUUUAAUAAUAAUUAUUAAACAUUUAGUUAAAUUGGAUUUAAUAGUAAUUUAUAGUUUAAUUUUUGUAAAUGAUUAUAGUUUUUUAUUAUGUACAUAUUGCCCGUCAAUCUAAAAUUUUUUAUUUUAGGUAAGUCGUAACAAAGUAGAAGUACUGGAAAGUGUUUCUAGAA